AUGAACGCUAGCUACAGGCUUAACACAUGCAAGUCGAGGGGCAGCAUGGUCUUAGCUUGCUAAGGCCGAUGGCGACCGGCGCACGGGUGAGUAACACGUAUCCAACCUGCCGUCUACUCUUGGACAGCCUUCUGAAAGGAAGAUUAAUACAAGAUGGCAUCAUGAGUCCGCAUGUUCACAUGAUUAAAGGUAUUCCGGUAGACGAUGGGGAUGCGUUCCAUUAGAUAGUAGGCGGGGUAACGGCCCACCUAGUCUUCGAUGGAUAGGGGUUCUGAGAGGAAGGUCCCCCACAUUGGAACUGAGACACGGUCCAAACUCCUACGGGAGGCAGCAGUGAGGAAUAUUGGUCAAUGGGCGAGAGCCUGAACCAGCCAAGUAGCGUGAAGGAUGACUGCCCUAUGGGUUGUAAACUUCUUUUAUAAAGGAAUAAAGUCGGGUAUGGAUACCCGUUUGCAUGUACUUUAUGAAUAAGGAUCGGCUAACUCCGUGCCAGCAGCCGCGGUAAUACGGAGGAUCCGAGCGUUAUCCGGAUUUAUUGGGUUUAAAGGGAGCGUAGAUGGAUGUUUAAGUCAGUUGUGAAAGUUUGCGGCUCAACCGUAAAAUUGCAGUUGAUACUGGAUAUCUUGAGUGCAGUUGAGGCAGGCGGAAUUCGUGGUGUAGCGGUGAAAUGCUUAGAUAUCACGAAGAACUCCGAUUGCGAAGGCAGCCUGCUAAGCUGCAACUGACAUUGAGGCUCGAAAGUGUGGGUAUCAAACAGGAUUAGAUACCCUGGUAGUCCACACGGUAAACGAUGAAUACUCGCUGUUUGCGAUAUACAGCAAGCGGCCAAGCGAAAGCGUUAAGUAUUCCACCUGGGGAGUACGCCGGCAACGGUGAAACUCAAAGGAAUUGACGGGGGCCCGCACAAGCGGAGGAACAUGUGGUUUAAUUCGAUGAUACGCGAGGAACCUUACCCGGGCUUAAAUUGCAGAUGAAUUACGGUGAAAGCCGUAAGCCGCAAGGCAUCUGUGAAGGUGCUGCAUGGUUGUCGUCAGCUCGUGCCGUGAGGUGUCGGCUUAAGUGCCAUAACGAGCGCAACCCUUGUUGUCAGUUACUAACAGGUUCCGCUGAGGACUCUGACAAGACUGCCAUCGUAAGAUGUGAGGAAGGUGGGGAUGACGUCAAAUCAGCACGGCCCUUACGUCCGGGGCUACACACGUGUUACAAUGGGGGGGUACAGAGGGCCGCUACCACGCGAGUGGAUGCCAAUCCCAAAAACCUCUCUCAGUUCGGACUGGAGUCUGCAACCCGACUCCACGAAGCUGGAUUCGCUAGUAAUCGCGCAUCAGCCACGGCGCGGUGAAUACGUUCCCGGGCCUUGUACACACCGCCCGUCACACCAUGGGAGUUGGAUAUGCCCGAAGUCAGUGACCCAACCGUAAGGAGGGAGCUGCCGAAGGUGGGACCGAUAACUGGGGUG
rnacentral:rRNA from 1 species